CCCGGCACAAGCGGAGGAACAUGUGGUUUAAUUCGAUGAUACGCGAGGAACCUUACCCGGGCUUGAAAUGCAUCUGACCGGCUUGGAAACAGGCCUUCUAGCAAUAGCAGAUGUGUAGGUGCUGCAUGGUUGUCGUCAGCUCGUGCCGUGAGGUGUCGGCUUAAGUGCCAUAACGAGCGCAACCCUUAUCAUUAGUUGCCAGCGGGUCAUGCCGGGAACUCUAAUGAGACUGCCACCGUAAGGUGUGAGGAAGGUGGGGAUGACGUCAAAUCAGCACGGCCCUUACGUCCGGGGCGACACACGUGUUACAAUGGGGGGUACAGAGGGUCGCUACCACGUGAGUGGAUGCUAAUCUCAUAAAGCCUCUCUCAGUUCGGAUCGGAGUCUGCAACUCGACUCCAUGAAGUUGGAAUCGCUAGUAAUCGCAGAUCAGCACGCUGCGGUGAGUACGUUCCCGGGCCUU
rnacentral:rRNA from 1 species